rnacentral:rRNA from 1 species
UACGAAGGGGGCUAGCGUUGUUCGGAAUCACUGGGCGUAAAGCGCACGUAGGCGGAUCUUUAAGUCAGGGGUGAAAUCCCGAGGCUCAACCUCGGAACUGCCUUUGAUACUGGGGAUCUCGAGUCCGGGAGAGGUGAGUGGAACUGCGAGUGUAGAGGUGAAAUUCGUAGAUAUUCGCAAGGACACCAGUGGCGAAGGCGGCUCACUGGCCCGGAACUGACGCUGAGGUGCGAAAGCGUGGGGAGCGAACAGG